rnacentral:rRNA from 1 species
GGGAAACGGGUUAAUAUUCCCGUACUUCUUACAAUUGCGAUGGGGGGGACGGAGAAGGCUAGGUGGGCCUGGCGACGGUUGUCCAGGUUCAAGUGCGUAGGCUUGAGAGUUAGGUAAAUCCGGCUCUCUUUAAGGCUGAGACACGACGUCGAGCACCUACGGGUGUGAAGUCAUUGAUGCCAUGCUUCCAGGAAAAGCCUCUAAGCUUCAGAUUGUAAGGAAUCGUACCCCA